GACCAUUCAGCACUCUGCCCGGCUCCUGGAAAGUUCUCUGCUACCCUGACCUACUGGCGAAAUCUAGUCCAACAAAGACAGACUCCAUGUGUCCAGGACGAAAGGAAGCCAGGUGGCGGAGUAAAUGAAAGUUGGCUGAGGGCCCUCGCUUAAGUGCUUUUCCAUUCUGCCUCGGCUUUGCAUUCUGGGCUGUGCUGCAUUUCGUGGGACUGGGCACGGCUUCUGUGACAAUCAGGCUAUUUGGCUUUUCACCCCAUCUUCCACUGGAGCCCUCGGAGAAGAGCUAGUCCUAGAAGGAAAAGAGGGUGGAGAACGGGAUUCAAUGAAGGAAAAGAUGUCUGCGUGCGGGCUUGGCCCACCCCCUUUGAGCAUGAAUAA